rnacentral:rRNA from 1 species
GAUGAACGCUGGCGGCGUGCCUAAUACAUGCAAGUCGAGCGAACGGACGAGAAGCUUGCUUUUCUGAUGUUAGCGGCGGACGGGUGAGUAACACGUGGAUAACCUACCUAUAAGACUGGGAUAACUUCGGGAAACCGGAGCUAAUACCGGAUAAUAUUUUGAACCGCAUGGUUCAAAAGUGAAAGACGGUCUUGCUGUCACUUAUAGAUGGAUCCGCGCUGCAUUAGCUAGUUGGUAAGGUAACGGCUUACCAAGGCAACGAUGCAUAGCCGACCUGAGAGGGUGAUCGGCCACACUGGAACUGAGACACGGUCCAGACUCCUACGGGAGGCAGCAGUAGGGAAUCUUCCGCAAUGGGCGGAAGCCUGGCGGAGCAACGCCGCGUGAGUGAUGAAGGUCUUCGGAUCGUAAAACUCUGUUAUUAGGGAAGAACAUAUGUGUAAGUAACUGUGCACAUCUUGACGGUACCUAAUCAGAAAGCCACGGCUAACUACGUG